rnacentral:piRNA from 1 species
UGCCAUGAGACAAAAGUUGGGCCUGGA